GGUGUUCUAACCAAUAAUCACCGAUGCGAUGUUCUGUCCGAUUGAUUCAGGAACCAUCUAACGAAUGCCGAAGUGUUGUGCUUUGUGAAUUUCGUUAAACGGAAUCCAAAGUACUACACUUUGUGAGUUCAUUAAAUAAAUACCAAAGUACUGUCUGAAUAAGACUAUACUUUGUGAAAUUCGUUAAGGUUCGAAUCUCGUGACUACCGUUAAGGUUUGAUUUGGGUUUUACACAAAUACGUAUUCCAUUCUGUUAAACUAUAUGUUUAACUACCAAAAAUACUCCCAACUACACACUCACAAUCAAACAAACUAUUAAAUCAUCAGAAGAUCCAGAAUAAUAAAGUGCAUGCUUAAUUAUCGGAAGAAGUAGAAUCAAGAAGCUUGUUAACUCAAUCUUGCAUGCUUAUAAAGUAAUUACAGUAUAUUGGAGUAAGAAUUGGAUCCG
rnacentral:lncRNA from 1 species